GACGAACGCUGGCGGCGUGCCUAAUACAUGCAAGUUGAGCGCUGAAGGUUGGUACUUGUUCCUACUGGAUUAGCAGCGAACGGGUGAGUAACGCGUGGGGAAUCUGCCUUUGAGCGGGGGACAACAUUUGGAAACGAAUGCUAAUACCGCAUAAUAACUUUAAACACAAGUUUUAAGAUUGAAAGAUGCACUUGCUUCACUCAAUGAUGAUCCCGCGUUUUAUUAGCUAGUUGGUAAGGUAAAGGCCCACCAAGGCAAUGAUACAUAGCCGACCUGAGAGGGGGACCGCCAACAUGGGAAUGGGGAAACGCCCAAAACUCUUAGGGGAGCCGCAGUAGGGGAACUUCGGGCAUGGAGGGAAGUCUGAACGGGGAAAGCCGCGGGGGUGAAGGAGGUUUUCGGGACGUUAAACUCUGUUGGUAGAGAAAAACGAUGGUGGGAGUGGAAAGCGCAUAAAGUGACGGUAACUACCCAGAAAGCGACGGCUAACUACGUG
rnacentral:rRNA from 1 species